rnacentral:rRNA from 1 species
CGUCCCGGUGAACAAUCGGGAGGCCGUGCUCAUGGUCAGCAAUGGCCGGAGCGCGGUCGAACUUUUGUAAAUUUGGACG